rnacentral:rRNA from 1 species
GAUGAACGCUGGCGGCGUGCCUAAUACAUGCAAGUCGAGCGAACGGACGAGAAGCUUGCUUCUCUGAUGUUAGCGGCGGACGGGUGAGUAACACGUGGAUAACCUACCUAUAAGACUGGGAUAACUUCGGGAAACCGGAGCUAAUACCGGAUAAUAUUUUGAACCGCAUGGUUCAAAAGUGAAAGACGGUCUUGCUGUCACUUAUAGAUGGAUCCGCGCUGCAUUAGCUAGUUGGUAAGGUACGGCUUACCAAGGCAACGAUGCAUAACCGACCUGAGAGGGUGAUCGGCCACACUGGAACUGAGACACGGUCCAGACUCCUACGGGAGGCAGCAGUAGGGAAUCUUCCGCAAUGGGCGAAAGCCUGACGGAGCAACGCCGCGUGAGUGAUGAAGGUCUUCGGAUCGUAAAACUCUGUUAUUAGGGAAGAACAUAUGUGUAAGUAACUGUGCACAUCUUGACGGUACCUAAUCAGAAAGCCACGGCUAACUACGUG